CUGACAAAAUACAAACUCCAAACCAAACCCAAAGCGAAGAAAAGCAGGAAGUGAUUCAAAUCUUACUACUUUCUUCACCGACAUUCAAAACUGUUCAGGUAGAAGACAUUUCCGCAUUGUAACUGUGUGCAGUGUAUUAUUGGUUACUUGGCUCCAGUCUUGCAGCAGCACUGAGUCGGGUGCGGCUGGUCGCUCCGGUUCCUCAUAUCUCAGAACGAGGACCUGGAUUUGGGUGCAGGGUGUGCUGCAAAUUGAAUUUUGCUAAUAAUCUGCCAGAUAGUGUCCAAAGGUUCUCCAGCGUUGCCCCUGACGUUUACUGCUGCAACACCGUUUGCAAGGACAACAUCGAUGGCUUCUGCCUGGCAAAGUGUCCUAUCUGCGCACCAGAGGAUAGUGGACAAUGGAGAUAAGAGGACGGACCAGUGGCUGCUGGUCUACUCCCCCGUCCCGGUGUUGAUCAUCUUCCUGGUUUACCUUUCUGUGGUCUUUGUCGGCCCACGUCUGAUGAAACACAGACAACCCUUUGACCUUAAAGUCAUUCUCAUUAUGUACAACUUUGCCAUGGUCGGCCUGUCUGCCUACAUGUUCUUUGAGUUCCUGGUCACAUCCUGGCUCUCAAACUACAGCUACCUCUGUCAGCCUGUAGAUUACAGCACCAGCCCACUGGCAAUGAGGAUGGCCAGAGUCUGCUGGUGGUUUUUCUUCUCCAAGGUCAUAGAGCUCAGUGACACGCUCUUUUUUAUCCUGAGGAAGAAGAGCAAUCAGGUGACCUUCCUUCACGUUUUCCACCACGGCCCCUUGAUCUUCAACUGGUGGGCGGGAGUCAAGUAUGUGCCCGGCGGACAGUCGUGGUUCAUCGGCCUACUCAACACCUUCGUUCACAUUGUGAUGUAUUCUUACUACGGCCUGGCUGCCAUCGGCCCUCACAUGCAGAAGUACCUGUGGUGGAAGCGAUACCUCACGUCCCUACAGCUGCUGCAGUUCCUGCUGUUCCUCCUGCACACGGGCUACAACCUGUUCACAGAGUGCGACUUCCCCGACUCCAUGAAUAUGUUGGUGUUUGGUUACUGUGUCACCCUCACAGUCCUCUUCGGUAACUUCUAUUAUCAGAGCUACCUCAACAAGAAGAAGCAGAAAUAAGAUGCACAAGUUUCCUGUAACUGCAGUACUCACCAGCGUCCACUAGAGGGAACAACAUGCCCACAGUCUACGGAGGACAUGUGGCUCAGGCUGCGGUCGAAGCUGCCCACCUGGAAGAAAAUGCUCUCCUCUGGGCUGGAAGAGAACUGGCACCCUGCGCCGCCUUGCAGCUCCUGGGUCAAGCUGAAGCCUGGAACAGACAAGAUCAAGUGCAGUUUGUUUAACAUUUUGAUGAAAUCAAUCAGGUGAUCUGUUAUGAUCUUUUACGAUUCUGGCAUUUAGGCUCUAGGUCAGUUGUCCUCACCUGCAGUGCCAGUGUUGCCAGUCGACAUGUGGAAGCCAUUGUGCUGAUGGGAAGUGUAGGCGUGAGAAUCUCCUGGGACGUGGACACCACCGACCGUCUGCUCCAUCCUGUAGGAGUCUCCGAAAUGGAAGCAGCUCUGAAAGCUGCCUUGGUAUUCUAGGAAAUGAGGGGAGGAUGUACAGGAGCAGGGAGGAGGAAGAGAGGAGAAAAAUAGAAGCCAGGCUUGAUCGACUGCCACCAGUGUCUAUGGGUGAUUGUUUCCAAGGUAAUUGUGCAUGCCGCCGAGAAAGAGGCACUGAAACCGCGAGGUAAUUUCGACAGCGUUCUCCUCCUACUUUCAAGGCUUGAAACAACACAUCACCUUCCAGAUGCUUCCAGGCCGACCCAACGUCUCUGAGUGGCGCUCGGACGUUUACAUCCAGACGGUUUCACCGCGCUGGCCCGCUGCACUGUUUGUGCUGGAAGUCUGCUGUGCCUCACACCCCAAUCACAGGCAAUCAUUGACCAUAAGUAGGACACAUCUCCACAGCUACAUCCAUGUUACACAUCCACAGAGGACUCACCCAUCUCUCGUGCCGUCCAUGGCAGCCAGCGGGGACAGGUGAUGAGGGCUGCAGAGGUCCCGGUCUGGUUGGUGUUGUCGGGAGGGCAGCAUCCACGAGGAGAGCAGCGGACUGACUGUCUGGGGCAGUUAACCAGCGUCGAGAGGAGAAGACAGGAGGAGAUGAAAGGAAGAGAAAAGAGCGGUGCUCCUGGUUUUGCCGUUUCCAGGCCCAGCUGUUCUCAAGUGGAAGCAUGCAGAGGCCUGAUCUGACAGCACUCUGAAAUGGUUACAAGCUUGAUUCAUUACCCCCAAAUCAUCAAUCACAGACCUUAAAUGUUUUCCCCUUUAGCCCCAACAUCUGCUACCAGACCGGCAAAACAGUCGACAAAUAAUGGCUGUGAUUGCCUCAAUUUCAUCACUAGUUCCUUGUGGAGUGAGAGAGAGAGGGGAUCUGAUGGCACUCUUUAAGGGUUAGUAGAGGAUUAUGUUCUGAAAAUGUUGUGGAUUGGCUGAAAGGCUUCUGGUUGAGUUCAGGAAGAAAGCUCUGUGUGAGAGGGCGAUGGAGAGGUAUAUCAGCCUCUCAGCAUAAGAGCAGGAGCAUGUUAACCUCUGCACUACAAGUAUGAUGAGUCCUUCCUCUGGUUAAUCAGAGAACACUCUAAUUAUGCUCUAUAAAACAGAGAGGGGCUUCUCGUAAGUCUCGCUGCAGCCAUGUGAAUAAGAGCAGACUUAUAACCCGUGAACAGGAAAACAAGUUUAGUUCUGACUGGAAGCAUGACUCAUUUUCUGCUCCACAAGUGUUAAUGAUGGGAUGGCAGGCCACUUUGCCCCACCUCUUCUAUGCAUCCUAUUGGCCCUGUAAGAAAGUGAAACUCAUGCAAAUGGGGAUCCUGCAUGCCAACCUGUAACAUCUUUGCUGGCCUCGAAUAACACUGCAUCCCUGAACGCUUGGCUCACGAGCAAGCUCCUCUGGGCUUUAAAACAUUUAAAACAAGAGAGCAAGCAACAUCCACUCAGAAACAGAGGGAGGCCGAGGGGAAAAAGCCAAGACUCAGAGACCCGGUUCGACAUUCAAAGACAAGUUGAGAGUUCACAGUCGUCAACGGUGCGCUGGACUUCCAGCAACAAUAACAGAGAGCAACGGGGAACCUGGAUGGGGUACAGGCAGAAAACAAGGACAGAUGUGUCUAUAAAGUGAAGAAGCUGCGGGGCAUCUCUCUUGUCUUUAAGAUUGUUAUAAUAAUCUAUUUAUCUCUCUCUUGUUCCCAAUUCCAAAGUAGGGUUAACGUUUGGUGACGGUCAAAUUCAUCAAUUAGAAAACUGGAAGGCCACAUGUGAUGAAUAAAAGUUUCUGUUUGUA